AGGUUGCAGUUCCUGGGCUGAAGUGAAAGACCCCAGACUUGCCAACAGAGAGACUUCAACCAGGAUCCUCAGCGUCCCCAAUGGAUGAAAAUCUUUAGAAAGCAGCUAGAAGUAUCCUUGUUUCCAGAGGACCUGCAACCCAUACUGAAAUGGAGGUGUUGUUACAGUGUAUGAUUCUGUACAGAAUAUGCCACUUAUAGUUGCCAUUGCUGCCAUCAGAACUGCUUAUUUUGCCAAUGGAAUUUAAAUGACAUCGGGGUGUGAGCCUCGCCUCAACACUCCAGCCUGGAGAUGGCAGAAUCCCCAGCAGGAAAAGGCUCGGAUAGCAAGUGCUACAGUGGAGGCAAGAAGUUUGAGUAGGAACUGGGACUGUAUCUGCUGUAUGGAGCUCCACUCAGAUCCAGAGCAGGAUGUGAGCCCCUCUCAGAGCCUUGCUAUGGACUCAUGUGUUUAUUAGGAGCAGAUACUUCCAUGCAAGUGAAAUUGCUCUUGCAGGUUUGUAGCAACAAGAAAUGUUUCAGAAGGUUGUUUUAUUUGUUUAUUUCCAAAUAACAGGUGAGUAAAGCUCAGCAGCCCCAAAAUGUGCAGACCUACAGCUGGUCUGCUUGUAUCGCCGUGUUCUUCAGCAGUCUUGCUAAUCUGACUGCUCCUACCCAGUUAGAGUAAUUGGUGCCGUUGCAGACACCGUGUGUAAUUAAGGUCUCAUGUUAAUAACAUGCUGUUUUUGCUACUUUAAAAUUAAUCGCCAUCCAAAUUCCCUGUCCUGACUUCUUUUAAAAUUUUAUAUUUUAAACUGUUUGUUUCCUAUUGAAGUGCUUUAAAAAUGCUGCAUUUUACAAAAACAAACAAAACUAAACCAUGUAUGAUUACAGACAUAGUCACACAGAUGUGUCUGAUAUUAUACAUAUAUCAUCUCUAAAUAGCUCUGCAUGUUUUUGGGAACAUUGCCUUCCAAUAUUGUGUAAGUACAUACUGACCAUGAUUUAAACAGGGCAGGAAAUAUUCCAUACAUGGAGAGAUGUGUGGAAUUAUUCCAUUUGUUUUAGUGCAAAUGUGCAGAAAUUGUCUGAAUGCAUUUGAAAUACGAUGAAAAUAUCUAUGAAUGCACCUGAGAAAUGUUCUUUUAUUCCACUGAGAUAGGUAAGGUGAUGGCAGAAACCAGGGAAGCUGAAAUAGAGCUGCUGCAGUUUUACAGGUGAGGCAGUGUUAGCAGGAAAUGACAAGCAGGCUAUAGUUAUUAUAAUACCUAGGGCAAAGCAGCAAGCAUACGCAGUGAUAGACAAAUCUAAAUUAAUGACAGUGUGGGUGGUGUGCCAUUUUAAUAUAAACCCUACUGUAGGGAAACUAGUGCGAAUAUUACAAAAUAGGAAUACUAAGGAUCAUAUCUGAUCAACAAAAUGUUUUGUACAGAAAAUGUAAGUGCGAGCUUGAAUGCUGCAGGUAAUUGUAUGACAAUGAUUAUGGAAACCGUAUUUAUUUUAUCAAUGCAUUAAAAUCCUGAUGA